rnacentral:lncRNA from 1 species
CUAUUUCAGCUUGAUGUCAAUAAUGCUUUUCUCCAUGGUGAUUUGGAUGAGGAAGUUUACAUAAACUUCCUCCAGGUUUGACAGUUUCUGCUCCUAUUUCUGGUUCUGUUUCUCCUCUUUCUUCUAGUUCUUCUUCUCUGGUAUGUAAACUCAAGAAAUCCCUAUAUGGGCUAAGACAAGCAUCCAGACAAUAGUAUGCCAAGUUGUCUUCUGCUCUUUAUUCCAG